rnacentral:rRNA from 1 species
GAUGAACGCUGGCGGCGUGCCUAAUACAUGCCAGUCGAGCGAACGGACGAGAAGCUUGCUUCUCUGAUGUUAGCGGCGGACGGGUGAGUAACACGUGGAUAACCUACCUAUAAGACUGGGAUAACUUCGGGAAACCGUAGCUAAUACCGGAUAAUAUUUUGAACCGCAUGGUUCAAAAGUGAAAGACGGUCUUGCUGUCACUUAUAGAUGGAUCCGCGCUGCAUUAGCUAGUUGGUAAGGUAACGGCUUACCAAGGCAACGAUGCAUAGCCGACCUGAGAGGGUGAUCGGCCACACUGGAACUGAGACACGGUCCAGACUCCUACGGGAGGCAGCAGUAGGGAAUCUUCCGCAAUGGGCGAAAGCCUGACGGAGCAAUGCCGCGUGAGUGAUGAAGGUCUUCGGAUCGUAAAACUCUGUUAUUAGGGAAGAACAUAUGUGUAAGUAACUGUGCACAUCUUGACGGUACCUAAUCAGAAAGCCACGGCUAACUACGUG